GGGAAACUGCCCGAUGGAGGGGGAUAACUACUGGAAACGGUAGCUAAUACCGCAUAACGUCGCAAGACCAAAGUGGGGGACCUUCGGGCCUCACACCAUCGGAUGUGCCCAGAUGGGAUUAGCUAGUAGGUGGGGUAAUGGCUCACCUAGGCGACGAUCCCUAGCUGGUCUGAGAGGAUGACCAGCCACACUGGAACUGAGACACGGUCCAGACUCCUACGGGAGGCAGCAGUGGGGAAUAUUGCACAAUGGGCGCAAGCCUGAUGCAGCCAUGCCGCGUGUAUGAAGAAGGCCUUCGGGUUGUAAAGUACUUUCGGCGGGGAGGAAGGCGGUGAAGUUAAUAGCUUCACCGAUUGACGUUACCCGCAGAAGAAGCACCGGCUAACUCCGUGCCAGCAGCCGCGGUAAUACGGAGGGUGCAAGCGUUAAUCGGAAUUACUGGGCGUAAAGCGCACGCAGGCGGUCUGUCAAGUCGGAUGUGAAAUCCCCGGGCUUAACCUGGGAACUGCAUUCGAAACUGGCAGGCUGGAGUCUUGUAGAGGGGGGUAGAAUUCCAGGU
rnacentral:rRNA from 1 species